CACCGUGUUUUUAUUGAAUUCCGUUAACUUCGGGGUAUAGUUAAGUACGUUUAUAAGAACUAAAUGGCAUAGUUAAUUUAAAAAAAAAAAAAUUUUUUUUUUUAAUUAAAUGUAGCAUAUAGCGUUGUUGUAACACGGGCAUUACAUUUAACUCAACCAAACAAUUGAAAUCUGUGACAUAUCAAUGUCAUUUCGUACAUCAAUCGACCGAGAUUGUACUUAAGUUUAGUAGCAAAUGUAUGAACUCAUUCUAAACACUAAUCAAUAUGUAAGCCGGCCCUAAGGCAAGUGUACACGCUUGUAGAGGCCUUAUAGUAAAAAAAUAAAUUAUGGAUUAUCUCCGAAAUGGACUUAAUUAGAACAUCGGUGUCUUUGAGAAAGUUACUUGAUUUAAGCUCAGGAAUGCACCCUUGAAAUUAACGGAAAUCAAAAAAAAAACACGGUGUAUUUA